GGUUUUGCAGCAGUAAGUGAAUGCUCAUCAAUCCACCCUUUGAAAACUGAUCCAAAGCCUCCUUCUCCUAGUACGCUAUCUGUUCGAAAGUUUCUAGUGGCAGUCUUCAACUCACUGAAGCUGAUGUUCUCUAAAUUUGCUGCCUGCAAGAUCUCACCUUCACUUCGAGGAGUUUGGGGUAUAGAAUUAGAAGCUGAUGAGAACUUUCUACUCAAGCCACUCAAAUUUUUAGCAUCCCUGCUGGUAUUUUUUGAAUUCAGUCCUGUAUUAGAAGGAGUAUAAGCCUUGAUUCGAUUGCUACAGCAAAGUCCCAUGAAAACAAACGCUUCAGUAACUCACUAUAGCAAUUGCAAAAGCCAAACUCAAAUCAAACAAAGACAAAGCUCAGAUCUUUGUAUCAACAAAUCUUUUUUUUUUCCUGCUUAAAAAUGGGAAGUAAGAGCUAGAGAAAAAAGAUCACUUUGAGCUAAUUUAAAG
rnacentral:misc_RNA from 1 species